rnacentral:lncRNA from 1 species
UCUUUGCCAUCGCAACCCAGCGGCACAGGCGACAAUGAGCAGGUAUAUUUCUUCUAGAUUCGUCCUCUUCUUGUGUCGUGACUGGAUGAGGUGAGAUUCAGAUUGUCGGGUAUUGUUUGUAUUGCUAACUGAGGUGGGAUCAUAAUUAUUUGUUUGAUUAUUUGGUUGGGUUUAGUUAGAAUAAAUCAUUGAUGGUUGAUCUUGUUAGCUACAGAUGUUAUUCCCCUGUUUCGAACAAGAUUGAUUUUUGAUAGACUGAAAUUAGUGUUUGAUUCUCCUACACCGUGCCCAGCAAGAAGAGGUCGUCAAGGGAAGCUGACCUACAGUGACCACGCUCCACGACGCCCUCCCAAUCAGACUCCUCUUUUUCCUCGCUCAUGCCCUAUUGCGUCAACGGUUGUGGCCUGCUCCCAGGCUGCAUGUGAGAAGAUGACACGACGGCGGUUGGUUUGCAUAAAUAUUGAUCAAUGCAUUAUGAGAAUAUUUUGUGAGGUAUCCUGAUUGGCAUAUCACAGGUUGCUAGAGCUGUUGAACGGCACGAACAGUUUUUCUACAGAUGAGAAGGUUACCAAUUGGCUAAUCCAUCUAUCCUCUUUGUUUAUCACCAAGUUUAGUACUUUUACGGAGUGGAAAGGGAAUAGCUCAAUUGGCUGCCUAUGCAUGAAUAAGAGCUUUCAUGACAUUAUUCCGCAUCAUGCAUUUUGUUGUAUGUAGACUAUAUCCUUUAAAAGUGCGUUCAUUUAGAAUUAGCAAAUUGGGUCUCUGAUAUGGAAGUAUAUAUUGCAUUGUUGCUACUGAGAUGUAGCGUUCUAUACAUUUCUAGAAAUAAGGUCCCAUGGUUAUUGGUGUUGUUAAUUCUCAUGCCAAAAGAAUUAUGUGUGGUCGUCCUCCUGCCGCACAUCCCGCUGGUUUGCGGUUUAUCUUUUCGGUCUGCAAGCUAUACAGAUUAAAUGCAUUUUUCUGGAUAUAUAGAUUAAAUGCUCUCUACGCGGUGGUUUUCACUGCCUCUUGCUCUUCAUAUAUAACUUAUUUGUGAGGCCUCCCACUUUAUCUUGUAUUUGAACUAACAACCUGGGUCCUGCAAAAUGCAACUACAUGAAUUUGGAUUUGUCCAUCAAGCUUAAGAAGGUUAUGUUGAGCAUGGUAAUUAAUUUACGCAGAGUUUUUCUUGAGUUGUAUGUACGAACAUGGUACAUAUGUAAUUAUUUUUUCUUUAUUCCAUAUAGGAUAGCCCUUUUCUGGUGCCAUUUUUUUAUAGUGUGGCGCCAUGGAUUUGGAGCACACGAUAUAUGCAUAUUUAUAUUAAAUUUAUUACAAUAACAAAGGCAUAUGUACCCCGGAAUCAGAAACUGAAGCUACUCAUACAAGAUAGUAGAAUCUUCACUUUCGUUAUCCAUUUCUUGGACCUGAGUUGCAAUAGCUCUGACUUGAUUCUUGAUAUGCAGAGAUGGCAGUUAUUGCACAAUUAGGAAAACUACCAAUAGAGUGAGAACAAGAUGGGGCCUAAGAGGCAACCAUAAAAGGCAGCAGGAUAAAUGGCAUUUAUGUACUGAAGAACUGUGGUUGUGUAAGUCUCUCAUCAUCCUAGAACACUAAAUAAUGACAUGUUUUUUACUUUAGUUAGGCUUGACUAUAGAAUAAAAUGCUUUACUUUUCAUGUUCUUUACUUCACUUUUAGUAAUUCCUUAUCCGUAACUAUUGUUUCUUUAGUUGCAUAUCUCUGUGAUCAGCUUAGGCAUUAUACAUCUGAUGGCCUCUCUAUUUAUACAUUAAAUAUAUGGUAUUGAUUAUCUAUGCUUUAUGCUCUGCUCUGCCCAUGGCCUGGUCAUGUAGUUCUACCUUCCAUGUGAAACAUGUUCUGCCUGUGCAAUCUACAGUAUUUUGUUUCCAUUUUUCUCUAUAUCAAGAGCAUUUUUUUCAUCAUUUUAUCAUCCAGCAGGUCCGGCUUCAGGUAGUGGAAUGUAAUUCUAUUUUUUUCUCAAACUACAGUGACACGGUAGAAAAUAGUUCGACAUAUAGCUGAAGUUUUUGCUCCAUCAGACCAUUUGAAAUUGGUUAUGCUACUACAUUUUACUAUUGAUUUGAGAUGCCUUAUUCCUAGAUAGUGACUAUCUAAAUUAUUGACAUCCACUCAAAUAAAUAUACAAGAGUUGUAUGAAAAGAAAUCACUCUUAUCUUUUGAACAAGAAAUUAUAAAUGAAGAUGCAAUUAACCAAUCUUUAGUGGCAUAAAUGUUCAGGUCGCACAUGCAUGCCAGAACACUGUCGGGUGGUCUUACAAAAGACAACUACUUUCACAUCAGUAAUAUCUUCUGUUAGAGAUAUUCCACAACCCUUCUUGCUAGCUCCAGUCAUUUAAUUACUAUUUUAUCCACCAUAUUUUUAUGCUUUGCAUUCCUAAUUUUUUGGUCACAAGAAAUUGUAGUUAAAGCGUAUACACACCUAGAGUGUAAGUCGCAAGAAACUGUAGUUAAAGUCUAUGCACGCCUACAGUGCAAGAAACAAAACGAGCCUAAAAUACUGAUUGUUUAUAGCCUGAUCUCGUUGUAGUGUUGAAUCCUUGCAUGUCUAUUUUCAGUAUAUCUCAUUGUUAGAACCGUGGAUUAAAUGGAGCCUCCUCAGGGCAUAAGCAUUAGUGAGGUGAAAUAUGUAGAGUUUGGAUUGAUUUACAGGUUGUACUAAUGAACACACUAAGGUGGGCUUAUAUUUCCUGUUUGGUAUGCAAUCAUAUGGCAAACGUGUUUUGACGAAACUUUGGGCCAGAAACACCUUCCCCUGAUCUCCUGAAUUAUGUGUCAUCUAUUGCCACCUGAUAAAAAGGCAAUCCAUGGCUGUCUAUAUCCCUCAGAAAUCUAUGGCCUCCUCUCCUGCGUUGUUGCUUCUCCGCCGCGUGGUUGCCGCCUCUUCUUUCUCUUGAUGUGAGACUGCUCUAUUUUGCUUCUCACUGCCGUGGAUCCUCAUGGCGGCACAUGACAACAAUCUCUCUUUUCUCUUUACACCACCAUGAAUUCCUCAUGGCAACGCAUGGCCAUCACUUCCUCAGAAAGUAGACAUCGAUUAGACAGAGGAAGGAGAAGCGGUCGUUGGAGCGAUGCCGAACCAUGAGGAGCUACAUGGUGAGACACACAUCACACACAUAUCCUACGGGGGUAUGCACAUAAUCACUAUUUUUGUCUCUACACCAUUAGAGUUGUGAAACAACCCAUUAUUUCGGAGAUAAAAUGCAGUCGUAAACCUAUACUUGAGACUAAUAUUUUUCUUUGUGGAGAAUAGACAAAAUGGGGAAAGCCCAUGGCAGCCGCUUCAUUUUUUACCUGCUACUAUCUGUGCUCUGAGCAAUGUACUGGUUUUGUGUAACUUCAUCUUACAUAUAGGUACUAUGGUGGAAUAUUUAUCUAUACAUUUGAGAUUGUCAUUUAUAUUUGGCUACUUCAUUCUUCUCUAAAACUGCAGGUAUAUUCUCACAUUGGACUGGAUUAUUGCUACAAUUUGGUUGAUUCAGACAUCCAGUAUCUUGAAUGGCUUUCGCUGCUGGGCAAAUCAAGCGAUGGAAGGUAUUUUUUCCAGUGAUAUUGAAGCACAUUGAUAUUGUAUAUGAUGGCUCUCUUUUUCUGAUCUCAGUGUGUUUGUGUUUAGAAAAUUAUUUGUUUAUUUUUACUUCUCAAGGCAUAUGCCAGGAGAAAGCUCCGUUGUUGAAAAUCUGUUAAGAGACGGGAGAUAAGAUUAUUUGCAAGAAAAUAUGUUCUGCAUACUAAUGGGUGUCAAUAUUUAAGCUAGAUCUUUGAAUAGUUUAGUGUCCAAUAGAUGAACCGGUGAAGUGAUAGCAUGUAGUGAUGGUAGGGUAGGUAUGAUUUUAGUUCAAGUUGUCUGAAAUAUCCUAGCAAUUGCUCAUGUGGUUAGAUAACGAUAUAUUUAGGAUGGGCCUUUAGUUGUUUAGACCUGAAAUUAGAAAGCUGACAGUUUAUUUGUAUUAGUUCCUCUGUUACUAUUUCCUGUGAAGGAAAGUGCAUCGAAUAGAAAUGACUUUUGCUAAGAGAGGUGGAAAUUUAUAAUAAGAAAAAAGAAACUACUUUUGCUGCAGUUCCGGUUUGUUGUACUGAGAUGGCUCAUAUUCCAUUGAACUCAAACUUUGUAGGCCUCCCAGCAUUUUGAAGACAUAUUAUCCAGAUUUGCUACUAGCUUGGCCUCAGCUAAGGAACUGUUGGAGCUUCCUUGCCACUUGAGAAGAGCUUGCAUUGCGUACGCUGGCAAGCUUGCUCCUUUGUAAUGGUAUAUUCCUCGAAUGAGAGACUAUGAUGUAAGUCUCUCUCUCUCUCCCCCUCUCUCUCUCUCUCUCUGUGUGUGUGUGUGUGCUGCGAUCGCUUUUCUACAGCUAGACAUGCAUGUCAGUGUUUGUGUUUGUGUGCAGAAGCUCACGAGGGACAAAAUAGGAGGUUGAGGUUGUUGUUCCCGCAAAAAAGAGAGGAGGUUGUAGGGAGACGACGGAGGGGAGUGCGUCACACCGUUGCCCUGUUUCUCUUUGCUGUCGCCUACUCGGCUUAGGGCGCUCGUUUGUACCAAUGCUGCAGGGUAUGUUUGUCUUCUUUCCUAUAAUUUCCUUUAUUGUAGUUACCAUUUGGUACCCGAUUACAAAGUAUUUGGCCUAGGUGUUUGAAUUUAUAGGAACAAACAUGUUAUCUUGCAAGUACAUAUGUAUACCAUUUUUUGGUUUAAGAAGCAUGGACUAUAUUUAGAUUCCUUUGUUGCCUGCUAGAUGGUUUUCUGUAAACGAAAAAGUUACCAAAUUUUUCGAGCUACCUCUUGAGUGAUUUUGCUUGUUAGUAAUGUUUACCCUACCUAAAUCCUAAGUUAGGGUUUAUCAGUAAUUAGAUAUACUUAGGUAAGUAGAACUGUAGAAGUCUAAUAAUAAAGGUUCAUCAAAAUGGGGAAUCUUUCAUGCACAUGAUCACAUUUUUUUGUUGGCAUUCUUUUCUUAUUUUCCUCCCUUGAACCAGGACAUCACUGAAGGAAAUAUGCCCUAGAGGCAAUAAUAAAGUUAUUAUUUAUUUCCUCAUAUCAUGAUAAAUGUUUAUUAUUCAUGCUAGAAUUGUAUUACCCGGAAACAUGAUACAUGUGUGAAUACAUAGACAAACAUAACGUCACUAGUAUGCCUCUACUUGACUAGCUCAUUAAUCAAAGAUGGUUAUGUUUCCUAACCAUAGACAUGUGUUGUCAUUUGAUUAACGGGAUCACAUCAUUAGGGGAAUGAUGUGAUUGACAUGACCCAUUCCGUUAGCCUAGCACUUGAUCGUUUAGUAUGUUGCUAUUGCUUUCUUCAUGACUUAUACAAAGUUCCUACAACUAUGAGAUUAUGCAACUCCCGUUUACCAGAGGAACACUUUAUGUACUACCAAACGUCACAAUGUAACUGGGUGAUUAUAAAUGAGUUCUACAUGUGUUUCCGAAGGUACAUGUUGAGUUGGCGUAUUUCGAGAUUAGGAUUUGUCACUCCGAUUGUCGGAGAGGUAUCUCUGGGCCCUCUCGGUAAUGCACAUCACUAUAAGCCUUGCAAGCAAUGUAGCUAAUGAGUUAGUUACGGAAUGAUGCAUUACGUAACGAGUAAAGAGACUUGCCGCUAACGAUAUUGAACUAGGUAUUGGAUACCGACGAUCGAAUCUCGGGCAAGUAAACAUACCGAUGACAAAGGGAACAACGUAUGUUGUUAUGCAGUUUGACCGAUAAAGAUCUUCGUAGAAUACGUAGGAGCCAAUAUGAGCAUCCAGGUUCCGCUAUUGGUUAUUGACCGGAAACAGUUCUAGAUCAUGUCUACAUAGUUCUCGAACACGUAGGGUCCGCACGCUUAGCGUUACGAUGACAGUUUUAUUAUGAGUUUAUAAGUUUUGAUGUACCGAAGGUUGUUCGGAGUCCAGGAUGUGAUCACGGAUAUGACGAGGAGUCUCUAAAUGGUCGAGACAUAAAGAUUGAUAUAUUGGAAGCCUAUACUUGGAUAUCGGAAACGUUCCGGGUGAAAUCGGGAUUUUACCGGAGUACCGGGGGGUUACCGGAACCCCCCCCCCCCGGGAGAAGAGGAGGGCCGGCCAGGGCAGGCCGCGCGCCCCCUCCCCCCUAGUCCGGAUAGGACAAGGAAGGGGGGGCCUUUCCUCUUUCCCCUCCCCCCUUUCCUUCUCCACCAAGGCAAGAGGAGGGAGUCCUACUCCCACCUCCAGGCGCACCCCUAGGGGGCCGGCCGCACCUCCCNNNNNNNNNNAGUUUAUAAGUUUUGAUGUACCGAAGGUUGUUCGGAGUCCAGGAUGUGAUCACGGAUAUGACGAGGAGUCUCUAAAUGGUCGAGACAUAAAGAUUGAUAUAUUGGAAGCCUAUACUUGGAUAUCGGAAACGUUCCGGGUGAAAUCGGGAUUUUACCGGAGUACCGGGGGGUUACCGGAACCCCCCCCCCCCCGGGAGAAGAGGAGGGCCGGCCAGGGCAGGCCGCGCGCCCCCUCCCCCCUAGUCCGGAUAGGACAAGGAAGGGGGGGCCUUUCCUCUUUCCCCUCCCCCCUUUCCUUCUCCACCAAGGCAAGAGGAGGGAGUCCUACUCCCACCUCCAGGCGCACCCCUAGGGGGCCGGCCGCACCUCCCCCUCCCUCCUUUAUAUACGGGGGCAGGGGGGCACCUCUAGACACACAAGUUGAUCUUCGUGAUCGUUUCUUAGCCGUGUGCGGUGCCCCUCUCCAUCAUAUUCCACCUCGGGCAUAUCAUUGCGGUGCUUAGGCGAAGCCCUGCGUCGGUAGAACAUCAUCAUUGUCACCACGCCAUCAUGCUGACGGAACUCAUCCCCGACACCCUGCUAGAUCGGAGUCCGGGGAUCGUCAUCGAGCUGAACGUGUGCUGAACUCGGAGGUGCCGUACGUUCGGUGCUUGGAUCGAUCGGAUCAUGAAAACGUACGACUACAUCAACCACGUUGUCAUAACGCUUCGGCUUACGGUCUACGAGGGUACGUAGACAACACUCUUCCCUCUCAUUGCUAUGCAUCACCAUGAUCUUGCGUGUGCGUAGGAUUUUUUUUGAAAUUACUACGUUCCCCAACAGUGGCAUCCGAGCCUGGUUUUAUGCGUAGAUGUCAUAUGCAUGAGUAGAACACAAGUGAAUUAUGGGCGAUACAAGUCAUACUGCUUACCAGCAUGUCAUACUUUGGUUCAGUGGUAUUGUAAGAUGAAGCGGCCCGGACCGACAUUACGCGUACUCUUACGCGAGACUGGUUUCACCGUUACGAGCACUCGUGCUUAAAUGUGACUGGCGGGUGUCUGUCUCUCUCACUUUAGUUGAACCGAGUGUGGCUACGCCCGAUCCUUGUGAAGGUUAAAACAGCACUAACUUGACGAACUAUCGUUGUGGUUUUGAUGCGUAGGUAAGAACGGUUCUUGCUCAGCCCAUAGCAGCCACGUAAAAUUUGCAACAACAAAGUAGAGGACGUCUAACUUGUUUUUGCACGGCAUGUUGUGAUGUGAUAUGGUCAAGACGUGAUGCUAUAUUUUAUUGUAUGAGAUGAUCAUGUUUUUUAACCGAAGUUAUCGGCAACUGGCAGGAGCCAUAUGGUUGUCGCUUUAUUGUAUGAAAUGCAAACGCCCUGUAAUUGCUUUACUUUAUUACUAAGCGGUAGCGAUAGUCGUAGAAGCAAUAGAUGGCGUAACGACAACGAUGCUACGAUGGAGAUCAAGGUGUCUCGCCGGUGACGAUGGUGAUCACGACGGUGUUUCGGAGAUGGAGAUCACAAGCACAAGAUGAUGAUGGCCAUAUCAUAUCACUUAUAUUGAUUGCAUGUGAUGUUUAUCCUUUAUGCAUCUUAUCUUGCUUUGACUGACGGUAGCAUUUUAAGAUGAUCUCUCACUAAAUUAUCAAGAAGUGUUCUCCCUGAGUAUGCACCGUUGCGAAAGUUCUUCAUGUUGAGACACCACGUGAUGAUCGGGUGUGAUAGGCUCUACGUUCAAAUACAACGGGUGCAAAACAGUUGCACACGCGGAAUACUCAGGUUAUACUUGACGAGCCUAGCAUAUACAGAUAUGGCCUCGGAACACGGAGACCGAAAGGUCGAACGUGAAUCAUAUAGUAGAUAUGAUCAACAUAGAGAUGUUCACCAUUGAAACUACUCCAUCUCACGUGAUGAUCGGACAUGGUUUAGUUGAUUUGGAUCACGUGAUCACUUAGAUGACUAGAGAGAUGUCUGUCUAAGUGGGAGUUCUUAAGUACUAUGAUUAAUUGAACUUAAAUUUAUCAUGAACUUAGUACCUGAUAGUAUUUUGCUUGUCCAUGUUUGUUGUAAAUAGAUGGCUCGUGCUGUUGUUCCGUUGAAUUUUAAUGCGUUCCUUGAGAAAGCUAAGUUGAAAGAUGAUGGUAGCAAUUACACGGACUGGGUCCGUAACAUGAGGAUUAUCCCCAUUGUUGCACAGAAGAAUUACGUCCUGGAAGCACCGCUGGGUUCCAGGCCUGCUGCAGAUGCAACUGACAAUGUUAAGAACGUCUGGCAGAGCAAAGCUGAUGACUACUCGAUAGUUCAGUGUGCCAUGCUUUACGGCUUGGAACCGGGUCUUCAACGACGUUUUGAACGUCAUGGAGCAUAUGAGAUGUUCCAGGAGUUGAAGUUAAUAUUUCAAGCAAAUGCCCGGAUUGAGAGAUAUGUAGUCUCCAAUAACUUCUAUAGCUGUAAGAUGGAGGAGAAUAGUUCUGUCAGUGAACACAUACUCAAAAUGUCUGGGUAUAAUAAUCACUUGAUUCAACUGGGAGUUAAUCUUCCUGAUGAUAGUGUCAUUGACAGAAUUCUUCAAUCACUGCCACCAAGCUACAAGAGCUUCGUGAUGAACUAUAAUAUGCAAGGGAUGGACAAGACUAUUCUCGAGCUCUUCGCAAUGCUAAAGGCUGCGGAGGUAGAAAUCAAGAAGGAGCAUCAAGUGUUGAUGGUCAAUAAGACCACCAGUUUCAAGAAAAAGGGCAAAGGGAAGAAGAAGGGGAACUUCAAGAAGAACAGCAAACAAGUUGCUGCUCAAGAGAAGAAACCCAAGUCUGGACCUAAGCCUGAGACUGAGUGCUUCUACUGCAAGCAGACUGGACACUGGAAGCGGAACUGCCCCAAGUAUUUGGCGGAUAAGAAGGAUGGCAAAGUGAACAAAGGUAUAUGUGAUAUACAUGUUAUUGAUGUGUACCUUACUAAUACUCGUAGUAGUACCUGGGUAUUUGAUACUGGUUCUGUUGCUAAUAUUUGCAACUCGAAACAGGGACUACGGAUUAAGCGAAGAUUGGCUAAGGACGAGGUGACGAUGCGCGUGGGAAAUGGUUCCAAAGUCGAUGUGAUCGUGGUCGGCACGCUACCUCUACAUCUACCAUCGGGAUUAGUUUUAGACCUAAAUAAUUGUUAUUUGGUACCAGUGUUGAGCAUGAACAUUAUAUCUGGAUCUUGUUUGAUGCGUGUGAUGCCCUCGAUUCAAUCGUACACUAAUCAUACACGCAAAUGUGUACGAUCAAGAUCAAGGACUCACGGGAAGAUAUCACAACACAACUCUAGGCACAAAUUAAAAUAAUACAAGCUUUAUAUUACAAGCCAGGGGCCUCGAGGGCUCGAAUACAUCAGCUUGAAUACAAACGAGUCAGCGGAAGCAACAAUAUCUGAGUACAGACAUGAGUUAAACAAGUUUGCCUUAAGAAGGCUAGCACAAAAGCAUCUACGAUCGAAAAGGCAAGGCCUCCUGCCUGGGAGCCUCCUAACUACUCUUGGUCGUCGGCGUCCGUCACGUGGUAGUAGGCACCCUCGGGGUAGCAGCAGUCGUCAAAGGUGGCAUCUGGCUCCUGGACUCCACCAUCUGGUUGCAACAACCAGAAAGAAGAAAGAAGGGGGAAAAGGGGGAGCAAAGCAACCGUGAGUACUCAUCCAAAGUACUCGCAAGCAAGGAUCUACCUACAUAUGCAACAUUAUCAAAGGAAGGUUGUAUAUGUGGACUGGGCUGCAGAAAUGCCAGAAUAGAGAGAAGGCCUAGUCCUAUCGAAGACUAGCAUCUUCUCGAACCCACCAUCUUGCAGCAACAGGAGGGAGUAGAGUAGCAUAAAGUAAGUAGCAGUGGUGUUAUCAACCUCGGUCGGAGAUCCUUUCUCGACUCCCUGCGAGAAAGAAAUCCCAGAGCCAUACUAUCCAGUUAUCAUCACAAUCAAAUCCUCAUCACCAUCCAGUUCUCAUCACAAGUAUCCAGUUCUAGUUGUAUCGAUCGGGAUACAACUCCAAGUGUCCGUUACCGUAGGACAGGCUAUGCAUAGAUUAGUUCUUCCCUGCAGGGGUGCACCAACUUACCCACCACGCUCGAUUGACUCCGGCCGGACACACUUUCCUGGGUCAUGCCCGACCUCGGCCAAACAAUACGCCGCAACCCGACCUAGGCUUAAUAGAGAGGUGAAGCACGCCGGACUAAACCUAUGCCCCCAGGGGUCAUGGGCCAUCUCCCCGGAAACUCCUGCACGUUGCGAACGCGGCCGGUGAGCAGACCUAGCUACCUCCCUAAAAAGGCAGGAGCUUACCAGUCCAACCCGGCGCGCGCCGCUCCGUCGCUGACGUCUAUUAAGCUUCGGCUGAUGCAUACGACGCAGAACGCCCAUACUAUGCCCACGUGAUGGUUAGUGCUAUCAGGCCAGAGGCCCCUCGGAUCAAAUAUCCAAAUCGUAGUGGAUUAGGAACGCGCGGUAACAAGCAGAGACUCACGAAAGAUGUGACCCCGUUGCCCCGUCUCGAGGACUUGCGGCAAGGGCUAAGAAUGCCCGGCCACGCCUCGUAAUUAUCUCUCGGGCACCUUCCAGGUCAACCCGUCUCCACAUCACUUUCCAAGUAACAGUUGUAAAGUCCAAGUAUCCGUGUGUCCAAACAUCAAGAGGAAAACCCAAGGAAUCACCCCCGGUGGGUUCCACUCAAUGUAAUCAUCAAGGUGAAUGUAGAGGAAUCACCCUCGAGGUUCACACUUGAGGGGUUGCACGACAGAGCCGUAUCGGAAGUGGUUAAGGAGGAAAUCACCCUUGAUGACCACGACCGAAUAGCUACACUACAGGUUAACAUCAGAAGUGCUGUAGAGGUCUCACCCUCGGCACUCGAUAGUAACCCAACAGUGUCGAGCAACUAAGGGGAAAGUGAUGUGCGGUGCCGGGGCCUGGUCUUCAAUCCCGUUGAUCGGGUCUUCAAUGAUGAAGCAGGGGCAACAAGGACAAGGUGGGGGUCACUGAUGGAUCACUAACCAACCUAUACUAAGCAGAUUAGGAUAAGCAGGUAAGGUACAACAGUAGAUACAAAAGCAGGCUAUGCAUCAAAAUAGGAGCAAACAAUAACAGUAGUAAAAUCUAAUGCAAGCAUGAGAGAAUGGAAUGGGCGAUAUCGGGAUGAUCAAAGGGGGGGCUUGCCUGGUUGCUCUGGCAAGGAGGGGUCGUCGUCGACGACGUAGUCGAUCACCGGGGCAUCAGCGGCCUCGGGGUCUACCGGAGAGAAGAGGGGGAAGAAACAGUAAAUACAAAGCAAACAUAGCAUCACAAAGCGUAACAUGGCAAUAUGUUGUGCUGGGUGUGACCUAACGCAUGGCUACACGAUAUAGGUGAAGGGGGGAUUCAACCGGGAAUGUAUUCCCGGUUCCGGACCCGUGUCACACAGAUGACCAGAGGGGAAAAGUUCCAUGUUCAACAUGCUAGAGGCAUGUGACAGCUGAACGGACCGCAUUUUCAGAUUCGUUGGAUUUUUCUGAGCAACUUUCAUAUAGAAAACAUUUUCAUCCGAGCUACGGUUUAUUUUCUAUGCAUUUUCAAAGAUUAAAGCAUUUUCAGAAAUUAUUAAAAAAACAGAAAAGGAAUAUGAUGUCAGCGUGACGUAGGAGUGACGUCAGCAUUCAACAGUCCGGUUGACUGGUCAAAACUGACACGGGGGACCCACCUGUCAGCCUCUGUUACUUAAUAGAGCUUAUUUUAAACUAAACUGAGGUUAAUUAGCGGAUGGGCCCCACAUGUUAGUGGCUAAUUAGUUAAACUAAUUACUUUUAAUUAUAAAAACCAUUUUAGUUAAUAUUUAAGCGGUGGGGCCGGUUCGUCAGUGGCACUGUACCGCCAUGUCAGCGUGUUGACUGGGUCAACCCAGUCAACGUGGCCCCUAAGGCCCACUGGCAGUGAGCCAGGGGUCAGGCCCGCCCAGCCACAUCGGCGGCGGCCGGCGUCUCGCCGUCGGCGAUGUUAGAACGCGGCGGAGCCGCUCGGGCCUCGUCGGAAACGCGCUAGGGGCGGCCGUUUCGCGUGCGGUUGGCACCGUUCGAACGCGCACACGACGCCGUGUCGGGUGGUGGUGGUGGCUCGCCCGGGGACGGCCGGAAUAACCAUCGGCGGCGAGCACGGGCGGCGGAGGCGUUCGGAGUCACGUCGGGAAUGGGCUAGGGGGCACGAGAGGGCGAGAGGAAGGGCUGGCCGGGCUCCUGGGAACACCAGGAGCACGAUAGAGGGCUCGGACGGGGGCCACGGCAGCGGUGGCCACGACGGUGAUGGAGCAGGGCGACGGUGAGCUACGGCGGUUGCGGCGAGCGAGCUAGAGAGGGAGGCGGCCUACGUGAGGGAAGGGAGAGGGGGAGGAGCUCACUGGGUGGGCGCACGAAGGCCCGGCGAGUAACAGGAGCGCAGUGGCCGUGGCCGGAGUCGAAAGCGGAGGCGACGGCGGUCCAGGAGGAAGACGGAUCCGGCGCUGGGGUGGCUCCCGCCUUGAGGUUGUUGGUGCAGACGAAGCAGCAGACGGCUGCGGGGCUCGUGGACACAUCGGGGCGGCGAGGAGGGCCCGGUGGACGCGGUGGCGCAGCAACGCGGCGGCGAUAGUGCGUCGGGGCGAGGUGGAUCUGGAGAAGGGGGCGAGGCCAGAGGGAGAGAGGGGAGAGGGGGCGUCCAUGGAGAGUGAGUGGGUGAGGGGAGACGAGGGGAGCCUGAGGUGUCGCCCUUAUCCUCUCCCGCUGAGGCCGGCGAGGUGGUCGGGGUCGACCUUGCCCCUGUAGCGACACGGAGCAGAGGAACAGGAAGGGGAGGGAGCGACCGGUGGGGGGGGGGGGUCGGUCGGCCUGCUGGGCCAGUUGGCUCGGGUGGGCCGAAGCCCAAGUGGUGCAGGGCUUUCUCUUUCUCCCCUCUACUUCUCUUUUUCUUUUCUUUAAUUAUCAGAGAAGGAAAAAGUUUAUCUGGGGACCUUAAUGGUUCAGGAAAAAUGUGAAACUGGAUCAUAAAAGUCCAGUGCAUUUUUAGGCACUGCCACAAUUAUUUUUGGGAGAGGUUUAGAUCCAUUUGGAAUUUUCAUAAAUGAAUUUGCAUUUUAAAUUGCUGGAAUGGACUGUUAUAAAUGUUAGUGUCCAUUUUAGCAUAGGAGUGAUGUUGUUUUUAAUUACAUCAAAUUGCAUUGGAAUAUUUGCUAAAUGAUGAACAUUUUUCCAGCAACUUUUGUGCAACUUCAAGUUUCACUUAUGAUUUAAAUUUGAAUUCAGAUGGGAGUUGAAAAGAGAUAUUAAACAGAUGUGAUUAAGCAUUCUUUAGCCAAAAGAUUAGGGUUAAUCACAGAGGGUUACUGUAGCAUGACACUAGGGGUGUUACAAAUCUCCUCCACUACAAGAAAUCUCGUCCCGAGAUUUUAAGAGGUGGAGUAAGGGGGAAGCUAUAAGGACGAAUGUCUGAAAGGAUCAACAUCCGGUAGUUAUCUCAAGGAAGGAGAUUUUAGAAGCAUCAGGACGUAUCGAGAGUGCUACACGGAGAUUCAACAAGUUUUAACCAGGUAGGCAUCUAGUUGAUGCCUAAAAUAGGUGAUGAAGAGGUUCAGAGCAAAGAAGAAUAAUGCUGCCUCUGAUACCGAAAUGAAACAUGGUGAGGAGGUUAGCUCGUGUAUUACAUACGAAGCCGGGUGCCAAGAAUAUUUCGGAAUCAAGGUUGUACAGGAGAGUCAGGUUUCGAUCCUGUGGAACUGUGGGUUAUGGGCCCACCUUGUGGUUCUAAAGUAGGAAGGGCGUUGACAUAUUGCACGGUCAUGGUAGCAAGGCAUCUCAGGGGAUAGCCUGUCAGUUAUGUUGGCAACCACGUUGGUACCAAGGGCGAGGGACGAAGAGAACCAUUUUCCUGCUCGUUAAGACGAGGCGGACCAAUAGGCAAAGUUCUCAUCCAUCGGUGGUUACCGGAAUGUCAGCAACAUUAGUAACAGGGUCUCACUGACAAGGUUGUACAUCGGGGUGUUUUAUAAGCAGAGAAUUAUUUCUGCUUAUAUCAUAUAGAUCAUAAGAAGGUUAAACAAGACAAUGGAAAGGAAAAUGUGUUUAAACGCAUAUUUCCGGGGUAUAUCCUUCCCAAGGACAAGCAGAGCAUGAUAUCCAUGAUAAGACAGCAAGUUCAAAAGCAUUUAGAUAAAGGGGGCGAAGAAGAAUCAUGAUAUUACCCAUACAACGGUGUUUGGAUAAUAGAUCAAGAAACAUUUGACAAUGUGCUUCCAAUGUUCCUGUUGAUAUUCGGAAUACCUCGGUCAUGCUUCGAGGUAGUAUUAACAUGGUGUUACAAGUAAGGGUUGGAGUUGAAGAUCACAAGAAAUACACAAGGAACAAUUGCAGGAAUAGCAAGGAGUCCAAGGUUUAACCAAGGCGUGAUCAAACAUGUGUUGGAAAGAAGACAAGGGGGGUUGUCAAUGAUAACUCAAAUCAUCGAAGGUCACGGAUGGUAUUUCUCACCAUGAAUCCAAUUGUCAUCUCUGAAGAAAACAAAGUGUUGACGGUGAUCACGACAAAUUUUGUCGAGAGACUCUAUGAAGAUGUCAUCGAGCAGAAAAGGAAGAAUGAAGUGAAAGGCUACUAGAACCAAGGAUUCGAAAUCAACUCGAAUCAUCCUUGAGGCGAAACGAUAUGAUGAGGAAAAUCGACGUAGGCUUAGCUCAUCGUCGAAAAUUGUGCUCCAGGAAGAAGGACCAGGUAGCACAGUUAAAAUUUAGCAUGCUAAUGAUAUUGCCGGUCAGGCUAGGAAUGACUUGAAGGAUUAUUAAACUCGUAAGCAAUGAGAAUUACUUCGAGUUAUUGAAUCGGAGUGCAGAAGCGAUUCACUUAUCGGUGUUCUCGAGUGACUAACAACUCAGAACCAGAGGGAAAUUUGAAAUCGAUGAGUAGCAAUACUAGAAGAAGACUCAUAGGAAGGAACAUAGUUCUUUGUUAUUCUCGACAUAACAUGAGGCAAUACUUGAAGGUAGAUCAAAUUAGAGGUUGGACAGGUGAAAUGACUUGCAGGAGACAAGUAUUUUAACUUGUCCGGGAAAUGGAAUUAAGAAGAAACUAUGGUCGGAACCACGGUUAAGAAUGAUCAAACCACCGAUACAAGAUGAACUUAUAACAAGGGGUAAUCAUUUUUACGAGUAGCUUCCAUGAUAAGUUCUACAUCGGGUCCAUGGGCAUGAACACAAGAGUUCAAGGUCGACUCCCACUUCUUCAAUGCAUAACCUUUCAUUCACUCCUCGUUUUUCAAAGAAAAUGUAGUGCAGAGGAUUUAUCUGGCGAAGUACCAGAAGAGUAAGACUCGUGAGAACUCUCGGGUUCCUCGGAUUACGGAAGGCAUAAGUUCAACCCAUCGGGGCAUUAUUUUUUGAAUCUAUACAACCAUCAACCAAGCAAAAGAUACAAGUUCGAAAGCAGAGUAUCAAAGUCAAAGCAGAUGAUACAAUAUACCGAAGAUAUUAUGUAUCAUGGAAAAACUCACAAGAAUUUGGAUGUGAAGGACACAGUCGGAUAACAACCCAGCAAUGGAUCUGGCGAUUCUCGACAGAGUUGAUGUGAUUAUCGGUAAUCAAUCAUAUGAAGAAGGGGAUGCAAAGGCAUUGGCUUAUAGAAACGUCUGAAUGAUUCGAUGCUUGGGUACAAAGGAAUUAUGAUUUCAAGACGAAGGAUCAGAAGCAGAGGCUCUGAUCAAAAGAUGAGUAAGUUGAAUAGACUUAGAGGUGCACCCGACCAAACCUUGAUUGGGAAAGAACCAGCUCAUAUCCGGAGCGAUGUCGGAGCCGGAAAAGAAAUUUCCAAGGAUUAAUUGAUGAUUGCGAGUAUUCGCUCACACGUUGAACCCAUAGGAACAGAAUGACAAUCACAAAGAAUUUUAAAGAAUAUUGCUAGACAUAUGGAAUUAACCAUAAUGUAAGACGAUAAGGAAGAACAGGAGCAAUAGGCUACUAAGGAUUAUCGGUAGAUCGAAUAGUAUUCCAAAGAAUUUGUGAAACACAUGAACAACUGGGGAUAAAUGGGUUCAGUGAAUCAUCCGUAGUGCAAAAAGAAGCCGCAAAGCAGAAGGCAUAAAGGAUUCUCGAAACAACGGAGAGUACAUCUUGUAAUAAUAGGGGCAACUGGGUAUGAAGGUACAAGCGGCAAGGAUGUUAUUUACGGGGAUUAUCUGUGGUCAGGAACUGCAAGGCAGUGGGCACAGGGUCUCGAGAAACCUCGAGGAAUAUCUGCAGAAUCUUCUGGCGAAGCAAGCGAUCAUCGGAAAUGUCGGGGCUCUCCGGGAGGAAGUGGGUACGAGAACCUAAUGUCAGAGUCAGUAAAAUGUCUAACCCGAAUAGACGAGAGAUUAGAGUCCCAGAGUAUAGACGAGGAAUAAAAGAUCCUAAUACCACCCAAAUGGCGACGUGGGCCCGUAAGACACACAACCAUGUUAGUAAAAGUUUUGUAGUGACUAGACUCGACUUCGGCCAAGGAGUUGGAAGGGGGCUACCUACAGGCACUUGGCUCUGAUACCAACUUGUGACGCCCUCGAUUCAAUCGUACACUAAUCAUACACGCAAAUGUGUACGAUCAAGAUCAAGGACUCACGGGAAGAUAUCACAACACAACUCUAGACACAAAUUAAAAUAAUACAAGCUUUAUAUUACAAGCCAGGGGCCUCGAGGGCUCGAAUACAUCAGCUUGAAUACAAACGAGUCAGCGGAAGCAACAAUAUCUGAGUACAGACAUGAGUUAAACAAGUUUGCCUUAAGAAGGCUAGCACAAAAGCAUCUACGAUCGAAAAGGCAAGGCCUCCUGCCUGGGAGCCUCCUAACUACUCUUGGUCGUCGGCGUCCGUCACGUGGUAGUAGGCACCCUCGGGGUAGCAGCAGUCGUCAAAGGUUGCAUCUGGCUCCUGGACUCCACCAUCUGGUUGCAACAACCAAAAAGAAGAAAGAAGGGGGAAAAGGGGGAGCAAAGCAACCGUGAGUACUCAUCCAAAGUACUCGCAAGCAAGGAUCUACCUACAUAUGCAACAUUAUCAAAGGAAGGUUGUAUAUGUGGACUGGGCUGCAGAAAUGCCAGAAUAGAGAGAAGGCCUAGUCCUAUCGAAGACUAGCAUCUUCUCGAACCCACCAUCUUGCAGCAACAGGAGGGAGUAGAGUAGCAUAAAGUAAGUAGCAGUGGUGUUAUCAACCUCGGCCGGAGAUCCUUUCUCGACUCCCUGCGAGAAAGAAAUUCCAGAGCCAUACUAUCCAGUUAUCAUCACAAUCAAAUCCUCAUCACCAUCCAGUUCUCAUCACAAGUAUCCAGUUCUAGUUGUAUCGAUCGGGAUACAACUCCAAGUGUCCGUUACCGUAGGACAGGCUAUGCAUAGAUUAGUUCUUCCCUGCAGGGGUGCACCAACUUACCCACCACGCUCGAUUGACUCCGGCCGGACACACUUUCGUGGGUCAUGCCCGGCCUCGGCCAAACAAUACGCCGCAACCCGACCUAGGCUUAAUAGAGAGGUGAAGCACGCCGGACUAAACCUAUGCCCCCAGGGGUCAUGGGCCAUCUCCCCGGAAACUCCUGCACGUUGCGAACGCGGCCGGUGAGCAGACCUAGCUACCUCCCUAAAAAGGCAGGAGCUUACCAGUCCAACCCGGCGCGCGCCGCUCCGUCGCUGACGUCUAUUAAGCUUCGGCUGAUGCAUACGACGCAGAACGCCCAUACUAUGCCCACGUGAUGGUUAGUGCUAUCAGGCCAGAGGCCCCUCGGACCAAAUAUCCAAAUCGUAGUGGAUUAGGAACGCGCGGUAACAAGCAGAGACUCACGAAAGAUGUGACCCCGUUGCCCCGUCUCGAGGACUUGCGGCAAGGGCUAAGAAUGCCCGGCCACGCCUCGUAAUUAUCUCUCGGGCACCUUCCAGGUCAACCCGUCUCCACAUCACUUUCCAAGUAACAGUUGUAAAGUCCAAGUAUCCGUGUGUCCAAACAUCAAGAGGAAAACCCAAAGAAUCACCCCCGGUGGGUUCCACUCAAUGUAAUCAUCAAGGUGAACGUAGAGGAAUCACCCUCGAGGUUCACACUUGAGGGGUUGCACGACAGAGCCGUAUCGGAAGUGGUUAAGGAGGAAAUCACCCUUGAUGACCACGACCGAAUAGCUACACUACAGGUUAACAUCAGAAGUGCUGUAGAGGUCUCACCCUCGGCACUCGAUAGUAACCCAACAGUGUCGAGCAACUAAGGGGAAAGUGAUGUGCGGUGCCGGGGCCUGGUCUUCAAUCCCGUUGAUCGGGUCUUCAAUGAUGAAGCAGGGGCAACAAGGACAAGGUGGGGGUCACUGAUGGAUCACUAACCAACCUAUACUAAGCAGAUUAGGAUAAGCAGGUAAGGUACAACAGUAGAUACAAAAGCAGGCUAUGCAUCAAAAUAGGAGCAAACAAUAACAGUAGUAAAAUCUAAUGCAAGCAUGAGAGAAUGGAAUGGGCGAUAUCGGGAUGAUCAAAGGGGGGGCUUGCCUGGUUGCUCUGGCAAGGAGGGGUCAUCGUCGACGACGUAGUCGAUCACCGGGGCAUCAGCGGCCUCGGGGUCUACCGGAGAGAAGAGGGGGAAGAAACAGUAAAUACAAAGCAAACAUAGCAUCACAAAGCGUAACAUGGCAAUAUGUUGUGUUGGGUGUGACCUAACGCAUGGCUACACGAUAUAGGUGAAGGGGGAAUUCAACCGGGAAUGUAUUCCCGGUUCCGGACCCGUGUCACACAGAUGACCGGAGGGGAAAAGUUCCAUGUUCAGCAUGCUAGAGGCAUGUGACAGCUGAACGGACCGCAUUUUCAGAUUCGUUGGAUUUUUCUGAGCAACUUUCAUAUAGAAAACAUUUUCAUCCGAGCUACGGUUUAUUUUCUAUGCAUUUUCAAAGAUUAAAGCAUUUUCAGAAACUAUUAAAAAAACAGAAAAGGAAUAUGAUGUCAGCGUGACGUAAGAGUGACGUCAGCAUUCAACAGUCCGGUUGACUGGUCAAAACUGACACGGGGGACCCACCUGUCAGCCUCUGUUACUUAACAGAGCUUAUUUUAAACUAAACUGAGGUUAAUUAGCGGAUGGGCCCCACAUGUUAGUGGCUAAUUAGUUAAACUAAUUACUUUUAAUUAUAAAAACCAUUUUAGUUAUUAUUUAAGCUGUGGGGCCGGUUCGUCAGUGGCACUGUACCGCCAUGUCAGCGUGUUGACUGGGUUAACCCAGUCAACGUGGCCCGUAAGGCCCACUGGCAGUGAGCCAGGGGUCGGGCCCGCCCAACCACGUCGGCGGCGGCCGGCGUCUCGCCGCCGGCGACGUUAGAACGCGGCGGAGCCGCUCGGGCCUCGUCGGAAACGCGCUAGGGGCGGCCGUUUCGCGUGCGGUUGGCACCGUUCGAACGCGCACACGACGCCGUGUCGGGUGGUGGUGGUGGCUCGCCCGGGGACGGCCGGAAUAACCAUCGGCGGCGAGCACGGGCGGCGGAGGCGUUCGGAGUCACGUCGGGAAUGGGCUAGGGGGCACGAGAGGGCGAGAGGAAGGGCUGGCCGGGCUCCUGGGAACACCAGGAGCACGAUGGAGGGCUCGGACGGGGGCCACGGCAGCGGUGGCCACGACGGUGAUGGAGCAGGGCGACGGUGAGCUACGGCGGUUGCGGCGAGCGAGCUAGAGAGGGAGGCGGCCUACGUGAGGGAAGGGAGAGGGGGAGGAGCUCACUGGGUGGGCGCACGAAGGCCCGGCGAGUAACAGGAGCGCAGUGGCCGUGGCCGGAGUCGAAAGCGGUGGCGACGGCGGUCCAGGAGGAAGACGGAUCCGGCGCUGGGGUGGCUCCCGCCUUGAGGUUGUUGGUGCAGACGAAGCAGCAGAUGGCUACGGGGCUCGUGGAUACAUCGGGGCGGCGAGGAGGGCCCGGUGGACGCGGUGGCGCAGCAACGCGGGGGCGACAGUGCGUCGGGGCGAGGUGGAUCUGGAGAAGGGGGCGAGGCCAGAGGGAGAGAGGGGAGAGGGGGCGUCCAGGGAGAGUGAGUGGGUGAGGGGAGACGAGGGGAGCCUGAGGCGUCGCCCUUAUCCUCUCCCGCUGAGGCUGGCGAGGUGGUCGGGGUCGACCUUGCCCCUGUAGCGACACGGAGCAGAGGAACAGGAAGGGGAGGGAGCGACCGGUGGGGGGGGGGGGUCGGUCGGCCUGCUGGGCCAGUUGGCUCGGGUGGGCCGAAGCCCAAGUGGUGCAGGGCUUUCUCUUUCUCCCCUCUACUUCUCUUUUUCUUUUCUUUAAUUAUCAGAGAAGGAAAAAGUUUAUCUGGGGACCUUAAUGGUUCAGGAAAAAUGUGAAACUGGAUCAUAAAAGUCCAGUGCAUUUUUAGGCACUGCCACAAUUAUUUUUGGGAGAGGUUUAGAUCCAUUUGGAAUUUUCAUAAAUGAAUUUGCAUUUUAAAUUGCUGGAAUGGACUGUUAUAAAUGUUAGUGUCCAUUUUACCAUAGGAGUGAUGUUGUUUUUAAUUACAUCAAAUUGCAUUGGAAUAUUUGCUAAAUGAUGAACAUUUUUCCAGCAACUUUUGUGCAACUUCAAGUUUCACUUAUGAUUUAAAUUUGAAUUCAGAUGGGAGUUGAAAAGAGAUAUUGAACAGAUGUGAUUAAGCAUUCUUUAGCCAAAAGAUUAGGCUUAAUCACAGAGGGUUACUAUAGCAUGACACUAGGGGUGUUACAAUGCGAGACGGUUAUUCAUUUAAGUCAGAGAAUAAUGGUUGUUCUAUUUAUAUGAGUAAUAUCUUUUAUGGUCAUGCACCUUUGAAGAGUGGUCUAUUUUUAUUGAAUCUCGAUAGUAGUGAUACACAUAUUCAUAAUGUUGAAGCCAAAAGAUGCAGAGUUGAUAAUGAUAGUGCAACUUAUUUGUGGCAGUGCCGUUUAGGUCAUAUCGGUAUAAAGCACAUGAAGAAACUCCAUACUGAUGGACUUUUGGAAUCACUUGAUUAUGAAUCGCUUGGUACUUGCGAACCAUGCCUCAUGGGCAAGAUGACUAAAACGCUGUUCUCUGGAACUAUGGAGCGAGCAACUGAUUUAUUGGAAAUCAUACAUACUGAUGUAUGUGGUCCAAUGAAUAUUGAGGCUCGCGGCGGGUAUCCUUAUUUUCUCACCUUCACAGAUGAUUUGAGCAGAUAUGGGUAUAUCUACUUAAUGGAACACAAGUCUGAAACAUUUGAAAAGUUCAAAGAAUUUCAGAGUGAAGUGGAAAAUCAUCGUAACAAGAAAAUAAAAUUUCUACGAUCUAAUCAUGGAGGAGAAUAUUUGAGUUACGAGUUUGGUUUACAUUUGAAACAAUGCGGAAUAGUUUCGCAACUCACGCCACCCGGAACACCACAACGAAAUGGUGUGUCCGAACGUCGUAAUCGUACUUUACUAGAUAUGGUGUGAUCUAUGAUGUCUCUUACUGAUUUACCGCUAUCGUUUUGGGGUUAUGCUUUAGAGACGGCUACAUUCACGUUAAAUAGGGCACCAUCAAAAUCCGUUGAGACGACGCCUUAUGAACUGUGGUUUGGCUAGAAACCAAAGUUGUCGUUUCUUAAAGUUUGGGGCUGCGAUGCUUAUGUGAAGAAACUUCAACCAGAUAAGCUCGAACCCAAAUCGGAGAAAUGUGUCUUCAUAGGAUACCCAAAAGAGACUAUUGGGUACACCUUCUAUCACAGAUCUGAGGGCAAGAUUUUUGUUGCUAAGUUCAGAUCCUUUCUAGAGAAGGAGUUUCUCUCGAAAGAAGUGAGUGGGAGGAAAGUAGAACUUGAUGAGGUAACUGUACCUGCUCCCUUAUUGGAAAGUAGUUCAUCACAAGAACCGGUUCCUAUGACAACUACACCAAUUAGUGAGGAAGCUAAUGAUAUUGAUUAUGAAACUUCAGAUCAAGUUUCUACUGAACCUCGUAGGUCUACCAGAGUAAGAUCCGCACCAGAGUGGUAUGGUAUUCCUAUUAUGGAAGUCAUGUUACUUGACCAUGACGAACCUACGAACUAUGAGGAAGCGAUGAUGAGCCCAGAUUCCGCAAAAUGGCUUGAAGCCAUGAAAUCUGAGAUGGGAUCCAUGUAUGAGAACAAAGUAUGGACUUUGGUUGACUUGCCCGAUGAUCGGCAAACCAUUGAGAAUAAAUGGAUCUUCAAGAAGAAGACUGACGCUGAUGGUAAUGUAACUGUCUACAAAGCUCGACUUGUUGCGAAAGGUUUUCGACAAAUUCAAGGAGUUGACUACGAUGAGACUUUCUCACCCGUAGCGAUGCUUAAGUUUGUCCGAAUCAUGUUAGCAAUUGCCGCAUUUUAUGAUUAUGAAAUUUGGCAAAUGGAUGUCAAAACUGCAUUCCUGAAUGGAUUUCUGGAAGAAGAGUUGUAUAUGAUGCAACCAGAAGGUUUUGUCGAUCCAAAAGGUGCUAACAAAGUGUGCAAGCUCCAGCGAUGCAUUUAUGGACUGGUGCAAGCAUCUCGGAGUUGGAAUAAACGUUUUGAUAGUGUGAUCAAAGCAUAUGGGUUUAUACAGACUUUUGGAGAAGCCCAUAUUUACAAGAAAGUGAGUGGGAGCUCUGUAGCAUUUCUGAUAUUAUAUGUAGAUGACAUAUUGUUGAUCGGAAAUAAUAUAGAAUUUCUGGAUAGCAUAAAGGGAUACUUGAAUAAAAGUUUUUCAAUGAAAGACCUCGGUGAAGCUGCUUACAUAUUGGGCAUCAAGAUCUAUAGAGAUAGAUCAAGACGCUUAAUUGGACUUUCACAAAGUACAUACCUUGAUAAAGUUUUUAAAAAGUUCAAAAUGGAUCAGGCAAAGAAAGGGUUCUUGCCUGUAGUACAAGGUGUGAAGUUGAGUCAGACUCAAUGCCCGACCACAGCAGAAGAUAGAGAGAAAAUGAAAGAUGUUCCCUAUGCUUCAGCCAUAGGCUCUAUCAUGUAUGCAAUGUUGUGUACCAGACCUGACGUAUGCUUAGCAAUAAGCUUGGCAGGAAGGUACUAAAGUAAUCCAGGAGUGGAUCACUGGACAGCGGUCAAGAACAUCCUGAAAUACCUGAAAAGGACUAAGGAUAUGUUUCUCGUUUAUGGAGGUGACAAAGAGCUAGUCGUAAAUGGUUACCUCGAUGCAAGCUUUGACACUGAUCCGGACGAUUCCAAAUCGCAAACUGGAUACGUGUUUUUAUUAAACGGUGGAGCUGUAAGUUGGUGUAGUUCUAAACAAAGUGUCGUGGCGGGAUCUACAUGCGAAGCGGAGUACAUAGCUGCUUCGGAAGCAGCAAAUGAAGGAGUCUGAAUGAAGGAGUUCAUUUCCGAUCUAGGUGUCAUACCUAGUGCAUCGGGACCAAUGAAGAUCUUCUGUGAAAAUACUGGUGCAAUUGCCUUGACAAGGGUAUCCAGAUUUCACAAGACGACCAAGCACAUCAAGAGACGCUUCAAUUCCAUCCGGGACCAAGUCCAGGUGGGAGACAUAGAGAUUUGCAAGAUACAUACGGAUCUGAAUGUUGCAGACCCGUUGACUAAGCCUCUUCCAUGAGCAAAACAUGAUCAACACCAAGACUCCAUGGGUGUUAGAAUCAUUACUGUGUAAUCUAGAUUAUAGACUCUAGUGCAAGUGGGAGACUGAAGUAAAUAUGCCCUAGAGGCAAUAAUAAAGUUAUUAUUUAUUUCCUCAUAUCAUGAUAAAUGUUUAUUAUUCAUGCUAGAAUUGUAUUACCCGGAAACAUGAUACAUGUGUGAAUAUAUAGACAAACAUAACGUCACUAGUAUGCCUCUACUUGACUAGCUCAUUAAUCAAAGAUGGUUAUGUUUCCUAACCAUAGACAUGUGUUGUCAUUUGAUUAACGGGAUCACAUCAUUAGGGGAAUGAUGUGAUUGACAUGACCCAUUCCGUUAGCCUAGCACUUGAUCAUUUAGUAUGUUGCUAUUGCUUUCUUCAUGACUUAUACAAAGUUCCUACAACUAUGAGAUUAUGCAACUCCCGUUUACCGGAGGAACACUUUGUGUACUACCAAACGUCACAACGUAACUGGGUGAUUAUAAAGGAGUUCUACAGGUGUCUCUGAAGGUACAUGUUGAGUUGGCGUAUUUCGAGAUUAGGAUUUGUCACUCCGAUUGUCGGAGAGGUAUAUCUGGGCCCUCUUGGUAAUGCACAUCACUAUAAGCCUUGCAAGCAAUGUAGCUAAUGAGUUAGUUACAGAAUGAUGCAUUACGUAACGAGUAAAGAGACUUGCCGGUAACGAGAUUGAACUAGGUAUUGGAUACCGACGAUCGAAUCUCGGGCAAGUAAACAUACCGAUGACAAAGGGAACAACGUAUGUUGUUAUGCGGUUUGACCGAUAAAGAUCUUCGUAGAAUAUGUAGGAGCCAAUAUGAGCAUCCAGGUUCCGCUAUUGGUUAUUGACCGGAAACAGUUCUAGGUCAUGUCUACAUAGUUCUCGAACCCGUAGGGUCCACACACUUAACGUUAUGAUGACAAUUUUAUUAUGAGUUUAUAAGUUUUGAUGUACCGAAGGUUGUUCGGAGUCCCGGAUGUGAUCACGGACAUGACGAGGUGUCUCGAAAUGGUCGAGACAUAAAGAUUGAUAUAUUGGAAGCCUAUAUUUGGAUAUCGGAAACGUUCCGGGUGAAAUCGGGAUUUUACCGGAGUACCGGGGGGUUACCGGAACCCCCCCGGGGGUUAAUGGGCCUACAUGGGCCAUGAGGAAGAAGAGGAGGGCCGUCCAGGGUAGGCCGCGCGCCCCUCCCCCCUAGUCCGGAUAGGACAAGGAAGGGGGGGGGGGCGCCCCCCUUUCCUCUUUCCCCUCCCCCCUUUCCUUCUCCACCAAGGCAAGAGGAGGGAGUCCUACUCCCACCGGGAGUAGGACUCCUCCAGGCGCACCCCUAGGGGGUCGGCCGCACCAAACCCCUUCCUCCUUUAUAUACGGGGGCAGGGGGGCACCUCUAGACACACAAGUUGAUCUUCGUGAUCGUUCCUUAGCCGUGUGCGGUGCUCCCCUCCACCAUAUUCCACCUCCGUCAUAUCGUUGCGGUGCUUAGGCGAAGCCCUGCAUCGGUAGAACAUCAUCAUCGUCACCACGCCGUCGUGCUGACGGAACUCAUCCCCGACACCCUGCUGGAUCGGAGUCCGGGGAUCGUCAUCGAGCUGAACGUGUGCUGAACUCGGAGGUGCCGUACGUUCGGUGCUUGGAUCGGUCGGAUCGUGAAGACGUACGACUACAUCAACCGCGUUGUCAUAACGCUUCCGCUUACGGUCUACGAGGGUACGUAGACAACACUCUUCCCUCUCAUUGCUAUGCAUCACCAUGAUGUUGCGUGUGCGUAGGAAUUUUUUUGAAAUUACUACGUUCCCCAACAAUCAUAGCCUGUGUUCGCUUGAUUGAGUGGCUUUAUUCAGUUGGUGUAAAUCCUAAGGUUUUUUAUCAAGAGAAAAUCAUAAAGUCAUAUAUUGUAGAUCUGUAGACUAAAAUAGUUGUUCAUCCUCACUAUUUGAUUUUGGAUGUCCCUCUUAAUGUUUCUCCACCUGACUACAAAGUUGUUGUUUUAGUUGCUGCCGCAUAUUUUUGUUUUGUUGAAUGUGGAAGAAUAGCGAAAGGGGCACAUUUUAGUUAUCAUAUGAUUAGAAAUAUACAUUGCUCCCUAUCUUUUUGGAUAUGCACUUGUGGUAGCUAUGUGAGCUAUGGUUGUCCUGUUACAUGUACUUCUUGGGGCAGUAGCACUACUCGUCUGCAUGUACAAUGUUUAUUUAUAUGCAAGAUAGACUAACUGCAAACUUGGUUUAUAUUAGGCCUCCUUUCCAAAUAUGGUUCAAUUUUUUUCUUUGAUGCCAGGUGCCAUGAUACCAUGUGCCACAUUGUGCAGAACAAGGAGAUAUUAUCGAGGCGGAACCGUGACGAUUGUGGAGUCCAUGAUCAUUAGUUUAUCAUCAACAAGUAGAAGAAGUCGGUAUAGCUUUGCCAUGGCGAGAUUCUCACCUGCUUUGCGAGUACUUUUUUU